rnacentral:rRNA from 1 species
GGAAAAGAAACUAACUAGGAUUCCCUUAGUAACGGCGAGUGAACCGGGAUGAGCUCAAAUUUGAAAUCUGGCGUCUUUCAGGCGUCCGAGUUGUAAUCUAUAGAGGCGUUUUCCGCGCCGGACCGCGUCCAAGUCUCUUGGAAUAGAGUAUCAAAGAGGGUGACAAUCCCGUACUUGACGCGACAACCGGUGCUCUGUGAUACGUUCUCAAUGAGUCGAGUUGUUUGGGAAUGCAGCUCUAAAUGGGUGGUAAAUUCCAUCUAAGGCUAAAUAUUGGCGAGAGACCGAUAGCGAACAAGUACCGUGAGGGAAAGAUGAAAAGCACUUUGGAAAGAGAGUUAAACAGCACGUGAAAUUGUUAAAAGGGAAACGAUUGAAGUCAGUCGUGUGGGAAGUAUUCAGCCGUCUCUGGCGGUGUAUUUGCUUCUCACGGGUCAACAUCAGUUUGAUCCGGUAGAAAAAGGCGGGAAGAAGGUGGCACCCUCGGGUGUGUUAUAGCUUCCUGUCAUAUGUGCCGGAC